AUAAGAUGAUAAUCUAAUUAAAAAACAUUACCAUGAAAUAAGAUUAUUUUGAGUGUGAUUAUGUUUUACAUUCUUGUUUUUAGGGGGAAGAGCUCAGAAAGUAAAUUAGAGCAGAGUUACCUUAUAUCUAGGUCUUAAAGAAACAAGGUCUUCAUUGUUUGUGUUUCUACUUGAUUAGAAAUGGCCUUUGAAUAGAUUUGAAGUUGGAGCAAGUUAUGACAAAGGCAGAUGCAUUACGGGCUAACUAACGGGGUAGAAGACCAAGAUUAUGAUGCCAUUUACGUUGAGCUUUCUGGGAAGAUGAAGAAGAGAAAGCAAAUUCUUAGGCACUGAGCAUUUAUUUCCCAUAUGCUAGAUGCAGCAUUGCACGCAGAGUCAGAUAAGCAAAAUGCAGAGUUGCGCGUGGAGCUAGAGAAGAAAUAUGCAGAGUUGCUAGACUAGUUGAAGAAUCUUAGUCAACAAGUUUACAAAAUGAGAAGUCAAAAUAUAUAAAGUCCUAUAAAAAUGUAAAACAUUAUUAUUAAUUUUAUGUAAAUUUUGAAUUUUGUUA